UAUUUAUUAUCAUUUGAAGACAAUUCACGAUUAGCAAUAUCAUAUAAACAUAUGUGCGUAACGGUAAUAAUAUAUACGUACACGGUAGUAAUGUGUACGUACACGGUAGUAAUGUGUACGUACACGGUAGUAAUGUAUGUAGUAAUGUGUGUGUACGUAUACCGUAAAUUACAUAUACGUACAAAUUUUUUUUUUAAUGAAGGGUAUAAUUGUAAUUUUGCACUCGUCUUCAACCUCUGCAACCCUAAUUUUGCAGCCGCUUGUUAACUCAUUAACAUCCGAAACUCCUCGCCGCCGACUACUCUUCUUUAUCUCCGCCAUUUGAGUAUGAACAAUAAUUCAAGAAACCAGAAAAUCCUCUUUUUGUUAUCCUUUAUCACGAGCUCGAUCGAAAUUUCCUCAACUUAAGCAACGAAUAGAACUCGCACAGAGCCUCAAUCGAACUUUCACUUUCGAUCGGAGUUUGUGUUUCGUCGGAAUUGUUAUUCGUCUUCGACAAACAGUUUUUGAUUUUCUUUGGUUGUUAGAAAGUUAAUAACGUAUUUUUGAUUUAAUUUUAAAUUUAAAUUUUGGUAAUCAGAAAAAUAAAGAAACGAAACUGAACCGCCUCCUUUCAUUUCUCGUUCCAGGGCAAAUUUGUCCAUUUUUGGCUGAAUGGCUAAAAUCUGGUUGGGCGAGCCCACUUUGUCUCUUUGUGAAAGAAAAAGUCAGAAAGGUGUCAACGGUGAAAAUUUCUUUUUUUUAAACGGGAAAAAUGUCGUUUUAUACGUGAACUUUCAAAAAGUGGACAUUCAAUACGUGAACUUUGCGGUCGGCCAAAUAAAACAUGAUAAAAACGUUGACCCGCCAUUUAACACAAAUCAAAAUGUUGACCAGGCCAAAAUCCCGAGACGUUAACUGGCAUUAACAGAUCUGAUAACCGCCGUAAGCAGACGUUAAUUGUUUCUGUUAAAGUCGAAAACGACGUCGUUUCACGAAACAAUAAAAUCCCCAAUUCAAUUUUGAAAUCCCUAAUUCUAUCAUCUUCUUCACUCUUCUUCCAUAGCUAAUUGAAAUCCCAAAUUCUUCUAUCUUCCAUAUCUUCUUCUAUCAUUUUCUUUAAGUUUGAUUUCGAAAUCUCUAAUUUUAUCAUCUUCUUCCAUUGUU
rnacentral:sRNA from 1 species